ACAGGAUGGAGACUACCUGAUUCUUUGCCUAUGGCCUCAGCUUCAAAUGCAAGAAGUCCAGCAACUGUCUGAGUUGUUGGAUAUUCUGUCAGAAACGGCGUGAACAAUGUUAUGAACAGAAUGAUGUCUAAUUGUCUUAUGGCAAAGUUCAAUAUGAGGGGUGGCGGACAUCUGGAAAAGUUCAAUAUGAGUGGUGGUGGACAUCUGGAAAAGAAGUCUUUUAAAGGCACACCUUUGUAUUAUGUUAUUCAAGAUGCUGUGAAGAGGUGGAGCCCAAAUGCCACAGACUCGGAAAUAGAUGCAGCUAUGGCAGACCACCUCAAGCACGGUCCAGGAAGAGCUGGGGGUUGUGAAUACACUAAAUAAGCCAAACAGCUGUAAUGUGUUAAAGAGAGAGUUAACCCAAAAAUGAAAAUUUUAUAAUUUUCUUACCCACAUGUUUCAAACCUGUAUACAUUUCUAUUUUCUGCUGAACACAAAGAUUGAAAAAUUUUUGUAACCA